rnacentral:piRNA from 1 species
UCGGGUUCAUGGAAUGGCCUAACUGGAAC